rnacentral:rRNA from 1 species
GAUAGUGGACGUUACUCGCAGAAUAAGCACCGGCUAACUCUGUGCCAGCAGCCGCGGUAAUACAGAGGGUGCAAGCGUUAAUCGGAUUUACUGGGCGUAAAGCGUGCGUAGGUGGCCAAUUAAGUCAAAUGUGAAAUCCCCGAGCUUAACUUGGGAAUUGCAUUCGAUACUGGUUGGCUAGAGUAUGGGAGAGGAUGGUAGAAUUCCAGGUGUAGCGGUGAAAUGCGUAGAGAUCUGGAGGAAUACCGAUGGCGAAGGCAGCCAUCUGGCCUAAUACUGACACUGAGGUACGAAAGCAUGGGGAGCAAACAGGAUUAGAUACCCUGGUAGUCCAUGCCGUAAACGAUGUCUACUAGCCGUUGGGGUCUUUGAGACUUUAGUGGCGCAGCUAACGCGAUAAGUAGACCGCCUGGGGAGUACGGUCGCAAGACUAAAACUCAAAUGAAUUGACGGGGGCCCGCACAAGCGGUGGAGCAUGUGGUUUAAUUCGAUGCAACGCGAAGAACCUUACCUGGUCUUGACAUAGUAAGAACUUUCCAGAGAUGGAUUGGUGCCUUCGGGAACUUACAUACAGGUGCUGCAUGGCUGUCGUCAGCUCGUGUCGUGAGAUGUUGGGUUAAGUCCCGCAACGAGCGCAACCCUUUUCCUUAUUUGCCAGCGGGUUAAGCCGGGAACUUUAAGGAUACUGCCAGUGACAAACUGGAGGAAGGCGGGGACGACGUCAAGUCAUCAUGGCCCUUACGACCAGGGCUACACACGUGCUACAAUGGUCGGUACAAAGGGUUGCUACCUCGCGAGAGGAUGCUAAUCUCAAAAAGCCGAUCGUAGUCCGGAUUGGAGUCUGCAACUCGACUCCAUGAAG